GCAUGCCUAACACAUGCAAGUCGAACGGUAACAGCAGAGCUUGCUCUGGCUGACGAGUGGCGGACGGGUGAGUAACGCGUAGGAAUCUGCCUAGUAGUGGGGGAUAGCCCGAGGAAACUCGGAUUAAUACCGCAUACGUACUAAGGUACAAAGAGGGCCUCUUCUUGAAAGCUCUCGCUAUUAGAUGAGCCUGCGUAAGAUUAGCUUGUUGGUGGGGUAAUGGCCUACCAAGGCAACGAUCUUUAGCUGGUCUGAGAGGAUGAUC
rnacentral:rRNA from 1 species